CAGAAUCAAGGCUUUCAUAUAACACAUUUAAAUUUUUUAUAAAAACAGAUGAAACUAAAACAUGUACAAAGUGGUUAUAAAUAGUAUACGUACCUUGUAUCACGUUCGAGUUGGCUUCAGCGUCCUCUUGGGUGAGGGUAUAGACUCUGCCUUGGACUGGAGGUCUGGCCUGAUUCUGAUUUCACGAGGACUCUCUCGCGUAAUGUUAGGCACUUCUGCAUAUGUGGCAUGUGUUGUUGAGGCAAUAGCGAGGUCGGUCCCCAUGGUCUUUGCCACAGUGUUCCUGCUGCGUCCUGUUGCCGAGGCCUGAGGAAGAACUUAAGUCGCAGGCCUAGGUCUCUUAUUCUACUUAUUUGGUGCAGUAGGUGCUAGCCUGCGAUGUGGAACCAGUGGCCAGGAAUUUUCCGCUGCUAGGGGAAAAAUGUG
rnacentral:lncRNA from 1 species